rnacentral:rRNA from 1 species
CGCAUCUGUGCAUGCAGCAUAUCAAUAAGCGGAGGAAAAGAAACUAACAAGGAUUCCCUUAGUAACGGCGAGUGAAGCGGGAAGAGCUCAAAUUUGAAAUCUUCAAGGUUUUACCUUGACGAAUUGUAGUUUAAAGAAGUGUUUUCCGUUGAAGUUUUGGUAAAAGUUCUUUGGAAUAGGACAUCAUAGAGGGUGAGAAUCCCGUAUUUGACCAUUAUUUUCAGCUGUGUGAUACACUUUCAAAGAGUCGGAUUGUUUGGGAAUGCAGUCCAAAAUGGGUGGUAAAUUUCAUCUAAAGCUAAAUAUUGGCAGAGAGACCGAUAGCGAACAAGUACCGUGAGGGAAAGAUGAAAAGAACUUUGAAAAGAGAGUUAAACAGUACGUGAAAUUGUCAAAAGGGAAGCGUUUGACACCAGUGUUGUUUUCUCGAAAAUCAAUUAAAAAGAGUUAGAUUUUGUUGUGUAUUGACCUUAACAGCUUGCAUUUCAAUUUUCUUGCUUUUUUUAAUGCACUUUUCGUUUAACAAGUCAACAUCAGUUUCUUUUGUUGUAAAAAGGUCAUUGGAAGGUGGCUUUCUUUUCGGAGAAAGUGUUUAUAGCCUUUGACUCCUGCAAUCGGAGAGACUGAGGUCUGCAGCGUAGAUCCUUCGAGGGUUAGAUACAUUUGUGCUAAGUUAUAGCUUUUUAUAGACAACUUGUUGACUAUGAUUAGUCUUGUAGCUUACUCGCUUAUGCUAUUUUACCUACGCUUAGGAUGUUGAUGUGAUACUGCGAGC